GAUGAACGCUGGCGGCGUGCCUAAUACAUGCAAGUCGAGCGAAUGGAUUAAGAGCUUGCUCUUAUGAAGUUAGCGGCGGACGGGUGAGUAACACGUGGGUAACCUGCCCAUAAGACUGGGAUAACUCCGGGAAACCGGGGCUAAUACCGGAUAACAUUUUGAACAGCAUGGUUCGAAAUUGAAAGGCGGCUUCGGCUGUCACUUAUGGAUGGACCCGCGUCGCAUUAGGUAGUUGGUGAGGUAACGGCUCACCAAGGCAACGAUGCGUAGCCGACCUGAGAGGGUGAUCGGCCACACUGGGACUGAGACACGGCCCAGACUCCUACGGGAGACAGCAGUAGGGAAUCUUCCGCAAUGGACGAAAGUCUGACGGAGCAACGCCGCGUGAGUGAUGAAGGCUUUCGGGUCGUAAAACUCUGUUGUUAGGGAAGAACAAGUGCUAGUUGAAUAAGCUGGUACCUUGACGGUACCUAACCAGAAAGCCACGGCUAACUACGUGCCAGCCGCCGCAGUAA
rnacentral:rRNA from 1 species